AGAGUUUGAUCCUGGCUCAGGACGAACGCUGGCGGCGUGCCUAAUACAUGCAAGUCGGACGCGGGACUUCAUUUCGGUGGAGUUCUGAGUGGCGGACGGGUGAGUAACACGUGGCUGACCUGCCCUUCAGAGGGGGACAACUGCUGGAAACGGCAGCUAAUACCCCGUACGCUCAUGGGGAUUAGAAGCCCAUGAGGAAAGCCUUCGGGUGCUGAAGGAGGGGGCUGCGGCCCAUCAGCUAGUUGGUAGGGUAAGGGCCUACCAAGGCGAGGACGGGUAGGGGGCCUGAGAGGGUGACCCCCCACACUGGGACUGAGACACGGCCCAGACUCCUACGGGAGGCAGCAGUAAGGGAUAUUGCGACAAUGGGCGAAAGCCUGACGCAGCAACGCCGCGUGCGGGAGGACGGCCUUCGGGUUGUAAACCGCUUUUCGAGGGGAAGAGGAAGGACGGUACCCUCGGAAUAAGUCUCGGCUAACUACGUGCCAGCAGCCGCGGUAAAACGUAGGAGGCGAGCGUUAUCCGGAUUUACUGGGUGUAAAGCGCGUGCAGGCGGCCGCGCAAGUCGUGCGUGAAAGCGCCCGGCUCAACCGGGCGAGGUCGUGCGAAACUGCGGGGCUUGAGGCAGGUAGAGGCGUGUGGAAUUCCGGGUGUAGUGGUGAAAUGCGUAGAGAUCCGGAGGAACACCAGUGGCGAAGGCGGCACGCUGGGCCUGGCCUGACGCUCAGACGCGAAAGCAUGGGGAGCGAACGGGAUUAGAAACCCCGGUAGUCCAUGCCGUAAACGCUGUGAACUAGGUGUAGCGGGUGUAACGACCGGCUGUGCCGAAGCAAACGUGAUAAGUUCACCACCUGGGGACUACGGCCGCAAGGUUAAAACUCAAAUGAAUUGACGG
rnacentral:rRNA from 1 species